rnacentral:tRNA from 1 species
UUAAUUGAAACCAAAAUUUGAGGUAUCUUAUUGUUAAUAAGAAAAUUGAAUAAUAAUUCUAAUUAAA